CACGGUAAACGAUGGAUGCCCGCUGUAUGCGAUAUACUGUAUGCGGCCAAGCGAAAGCGUUAAGCAUCCCACCUGGGGAGUACGCCGGCAACGGUGAAACUCAAAGGAAUUGACGGGGGCCCGCACAAGCGGAGGAACAUGUGGUUUAAUUCGAUGAUACGCGAGGAACCUUACCCGGGCUUGAACUGCAGGAGAACGAUUCAGAGAUGAUGAGGCCCUUCGGGGCUCCUGUGGAGGUGCUGCAUGGUUGUCGUCAGCUCGUGCCGUGAGGUGUCGGCUUAAGUGCCAUAACGAGCGCAACCCCUGCGACUAGUUGCCAUCAGGUAAAGCUGGGCACUCUGGUUGGACUGCCACCGUAAGGUGUGAGGAAGGUGGGGAUGACGUCAAAUCAGCACGGCCCUUACGUCCGGGGCUACACACGUGUUACAAUGGGAGGUACAGAGAGAUGGUGUUCCGCAAGGCGCAUCUAAUCCUAAAAGCCUUCCUCAGUUCGGAUUGGGGUCUGCAACCCGACC
rnacentral:rRNA from 1 species